rnacentral:rRNA from 1 species
ACGGGAGGCAGCAGUGAGGAAUAUUGGACAAUGGGGGCAACCCUGAUCCAGCGACGCCGCGUGAGUGAAGAAGUAUUCCGGUAUGUAAAGCUCUUUAAGCAGGGAAGACAACGACGGUACCUGCAGAAUAAGCCCCGGCUAACUACGUGCCAGCAGCCGCGGUAAUACGUAGGGGGCAAGCGUUAUCCGGAUUUACUGGGUGUAAAGGGAGCGUAGACGGCAAUACAAGUCUGAAGUGAAAGCCCGUGGCUCAACUGCGGAGCUGCUUUGGAAACUGUAUAGCUAGAGUGUCGGAGAGGUGAGUGGAAUUCCCAGUGUAGCGGUGAAAUGCGUAGAUAUUGGGAAGAACACCGGAGGCGAAGGCGGCUCACUGGACGAUAACUGACGUUGAGGCUCGAAAGCGUGGGGAGCAAACAGGAUUAGAUACCCUGGUA